UACUCCUGGCUCCUGGGCUUAAAAAACAAACAAAAAAACAAAACAAAACUGAAACACCCUUAAAAUUGCUAUGCUAUUGAGAAUAAUAUUGCGUUUGGUUGUUUUCCCCUCAGAUUUGUUCGGUGAAACCUCUUCAGACCCACUCCUGUCCCCACUGGGAGUUUUUCCUAGCUUUCUCUCACUCCAGGUCACCACUGUCCUUCUGAAAGCUUGGCUGUGUCUGUGGAGCAGUGUUUAGACGUCAUGAAGACAUCCCGUCCACGGGCACAGCCAUGGGAGCAUGGCUGCAUGCAACCUUGGCACAAGGCCUGUCUCCAAACCUGGGACUUGGAGAUCCCCACCCCCAUGACUUCCAUUCCAGCUGUACUUUUUCACCAGCUCACCACACAUGCUCCAGCAUCCUAAAAAGCCCAGCCUUUUUGCCCACCCUGCUGCUUUUGCUGUUCCCAUUUGGAGGUGGCCGCAUUCUGUGUUUCUCCUCAAUAAAUUUCUGUGUGACUUUGUGGUG